rnacentral:rRNA from 1 species
CCUACGGGUGGCAGCAGUGGGGAAUAUUGGGCAAUGGGCGCAAGCCUGACCCAGCAACGCCGCGUGAAGGAAGAAGGCUUUCGGGUUGUAAACUUCUUUUAAGAGGGAAGAGCAGAAGACGGUACCUCUUGAAUAAGCCACGGCUAACUACGUGCCAGCAGCCGAGGUAAUACGUAGGUGGCAAGCGUUGUCCGGAUUUACUGGGGGUAAAGGGCGUGCAGCCGGGAAGACAAGUCAGAUGUGAAAUCCCGCGGCUCAACCGCGGAACUGCAUUUGAAACUGUUUUUCUUGAGUACCGGAGAGGUCAUCGGAAUUCCUGGUGUAGCGGGGAAAUGCGUAGAUAUAAGGAAGAACACCAGUGGCGAAGGCGGAUGACUGGACGGCAACUGACGGUGAGGCGCGAAAGCGUGGGGAGCAAACAGGAUUAGAUACCCCUGUAGUC